rnacentral:rRNA from 1 species
CUUUAAACAUGCAAGUCGAGCGGUAACACUUCGGGUGACGAGCGGCGAACGGGUGAGUAACACGUGGGUAUCUGCCUUAGAGUGGGGGACAACAUUUGGAAACGGUAGCUAAUACCCCAUAGUCCGGUAACGGUAAAGGAUCGUUUGAUUCGCUCUAAGAUGAGCCUGCGGCCUAUUAGCUAGUUGGUGGGGUAAAGGCCUGCCAAGGCAACGACGGGUAGCCGACCUGAGAGGGUGAUCGGCCACACUGGCACUGAGACACGGGCCAGACUCCUACGGGAGGCAGCAGUUAAGAAUCUUGCGCAAUGGGCGAAAGCCUGACGCAGCGACGCCGCGUGAGGGAUGAAGGCUUUCGGGUUGUAAACCUCAGUAAGAUGGGAAGAAUAAGAGUAUUCGAAAGGGUGCUCGAUGACGGUACCAUCCUGAAGCCCCGGCUAAUUACGUG